GAUGAAGAACGCAGCGAAAUGCGAUACGUAAUGUGAAUUGCAGAAUUCAGUGAAUCAUCGAAUCUUCGAACGCAUAUUGCGCUCUUUGGUAUUCCGAAGAGCAUGCUUGUUUGAGUAUCAGUAAACACCUCAACCUCUUCUUGAUUUUUCAAAAGGAGGGUGGACUUGAGCUAUCCCAACAACCUUUACCGGUCGGCGGGCGGCUUGAAAUGCAGGUGCAGCUGGACUUUUAUCUGAGCUAAAAGCAUAUCUAUUUAGUCCUCGUCAAACAGGAUUAUUACUUUUGCUGCAGCUAACAUAAAGGAUAAUUGUCCUCUUUGCUGACUGAUGCAGGAUUUUACGACACUUUAUGUGUUGUUCAACUCGAUCUCAAAUCAAGUAAGACUACCCGCUGAACUUAAGCAUAUCAAUAAGCGGAGGA
rnacentral:misc_RNA from 1 species